rnacentral:rRNA from 1 species
UACGUAGGGCGCAAGCGUUGUCCGGAAUUAUUGGGCGUAAAGAGCUCGUAGGCGGCCUGUUGCGUCCGCUGUGAAAUCCCGGGGCUCAACCCCGGGCCUGCAGUGGAUACGGGCUGGCUAGAGGCAGGCAGGGGAGAACGGAAUUCCUGGUGUAGCGGUGAAAUGCGCAGAUAUCAGGAGGAACACCUGUGGUGUAGACGGCUUUCUGGACCAUAGCUGACGCUGAGACACGAAAGCGUGGGUAGCAAACAGG